CAGCAGCCGCGGUAAAACGUAGGUGGCAAGCGUUGUCCGGAAUUAUUGGGCGUAAAGGGCUCGCAGGCGGUUUCUUAAGCCUGAUGUGAAAGCCCCCGGCUCAACCGGGGAGGGUCAUUGGAAACUGGGAAACUUGAGUGCAGAAGAGGAGAGUGGAAUUCCACGUGUAGCGGUGAAAUGCGUAGAGAUGUGGAGGAACACCAGUGGCGAAGGCGACUCUCUGGUCUGUAACUGACGCUGAGGAGCGAAAGCGUGGGGAGCGAACAGGAUUAGAUACCCGUGUAGUCCCUGUCUCUUAUAC
rnacentral:rRNA from 1 species